CAUCAUGUAUUUCUUAUUUGUUUAUUUUACAGAGCAACACAUUGUAGAAGGGGAUAUAAGUGCUGAAAAUCUGAAGGAACAAGCUACAAAAUUGGUGGAACAAACUAAAGAAUCAGGUGAGUCUUCUUCCCUGAAUGAAAGGACUAUGGGGUUUCCCAUGCAAUGACAAGCUGUCCCACCUCAUCAAGUGUUGCAUUUCCUUUUCAGUAGUAGAAUCUGAAGAAUCAGAGAUUCAGAAUUCACUGCUGAAGGAACACUGCGAACGGAUGGGUGAGUCUUCCCUCCCACGCUAAAAACAGUGGGGUCUUCCUUUGUGAGCUGUGGGAUGAGAUGUUCCUCUCAUUAUGCGUUGAUUUUGCUUUCCUUUGCAGAAUUAAGUCUUGCAGAUCUGAGUAAGUCUUCCUCCCUACACAGAAGGAAUCUGGGGUCUUCCCAUGGCAUUAGCCAUACGAUGAUCAUCUCACCCUUCCCAUUAUGUAUUUCUUAACUGUUUCUUUUGCAGAGAAACUAGCUGCAAGACUGGGUGAGUGCUCCCUCCCAAAUUAACAAAAUAAAAGGCAGUCUUCCUGUGUGAGCUGUGGGGAUGAGAUGUUCCUCUCAUCAUGUGUUGCUUUUCUCUUUCAUUUCCAGAGGAAGAAGCUGAAUAAGUGGGUGAGUCUUCCCCAAACCAAAGCAAUAUGGGGUUUCCCAUGGCAUGACAAGCUGUCCCACCUCAGCAUCCGUUGCUUUUCUCUUUCUUUUCCAGAAAAACCAUCUGAAGACUUGGAUUGAGAGAUGAACUGCGCCUCACAGUAACCACAGGAGUUAAGCUUCAUAGAUCAAUGACUGCACAGCAUACAGAAACCACGAUACCUCAAACAGAGCAAGGAAAUCCACAGCGAGAACAAGAGGAGCCAGUGUUUGUGUUGAGUGAGAACACUGCAGUUCUGUCAGAUAAGGCUGCCUGAGGGACCACCAAACUGAGGGUGUGUGACCUCCAACUCAAAUCCAAUUGGAAGAAACUAUAGAAAGGAAGACUACAAGAGGAAGACAGAGAUCCUGGAAAAGGGAUAGACGUUUUGGGAAUUAACAUGGCCAUGUAUCAGGGUUUGAGGAAUUCUAAUGUAUAUAUAAGGCUUUUGGAAAUAUAAACAUGCACACAGAAGCAAAGGAAAAAAACUGCUUUGGGUGUUAAUACUGUUCUCUGUCCCUAUAUAAUAAAGAAUACCUGCAGAUGGUAAUGGAUCAUUGAUUGUGAUCAGUUAUUGGGGUUUGGUUCCAUGAAACAGGCUGAGUCUUCAUCCCGGAACCAAAGCAACGUGGGCUCUAUCGGAUAACAAGCUGACCCUUCUCACUACACAUUUCUAUUCCAGCAGAACAAGGCUCCC
rnacentral:lncRNA from 1 species